CCUACGGGUGGCUGCAGUGAGGAAUAUUGGUCAAUGGACGAGAGUCUGAACCAGCCAAGUAGCGUGAAGGAUGACUGCCCUAUGGGUUGUAAACUUCUUUUAUAUGGGAAUAAAAUGUUUCACGUGUGGGAUUUUGUAUGUACCCUAUGAAUAAGGAUCGGCUAACUCCGUGCCAGCAGCCGCGGUAAUACGGAGGGUCCGAGUGUUAUCCGGAUUUAUUGGGUUUAAAGGGAGCGUAGGUGGAGUGUUAAGUCAGUUGUGAAAGUUUGCGGCUCAACCGUAAAAUUGCAGUUGAAACUGGCAGUCUGGAGUACAGUGAAGGUGGGCGGAAUUCGUGGUGUAGCGGUGAAAUGCUUAGAUAUCACGAAGAACUCCGAUUGCGAAGGCAGUUCACUGGACUGCAACUGACGCUGAGGCUCGAAGGUGUGGGUAUCAAACAGGAUUAGAUACCCGUGUAGUC
rnacentral:rRNA from 1 species